rnacentral:ncRNA from 1 species
GGUAGAGUAAAUAUUGUGCGUUAAGUGUUAUGGGAUGGGAUGUUGCCCAUAGACGAAGGCGUGUCCGACAAAAGCAGCUACUUUGCGAUUGCAAGCGUUUGCCGAAUGCAGAUGCUUUGCGAGUACGAGUAUUUUGUUGAACACACUGCGAUACAAUGUUGCGUCCACUACU